GGUGAACGCUGGCGGCGUGCUUAAGACAUGCAAGUCGAACGGCAGUCUUCGGACUGUAGUGGCGCACGGGUGAGUAACGCGUAACUGACCUACCCCAAAGUCGCGGAUAACGAUUCGAAAGAAUCGCUAAUACGUGAUGUGCUGUCAGAUCCUGUUCUGCCAGUAAAGAUUGAUUGCUUUGGGAUGGGGUUGCGUUCCAUCAGCUAGUUGGUGGGGUAAAGGCCCACCAAGGCGACGACGGAUAGCCGGCCUGAGAGGGUGGCCGGCCACAGGGGCACUGAGACACGGGUCCCACUCCUACGGGAGGCAGCAGUUAGGAAUCUUCCACAAUGGGCGAAAGCCUGAUGGAGCGACGCCGCGUGAGGGAUGAAGGUCUUCGGAUCGUAAACCUCUGAAUCAGGGACGAAAGACACUUCGGUGGGAUGACGGUACCUGAGUAAUAGCACCGGCUAACUCCGUGCCAGCAGCCGCGGUAAUAC
rnacentral:rRNA from 1 species